rnacentral:rRNA from 1 species
ACACGUAGGGGCCUGACGUUGUUCGGAAUCAUUGGGCGUAAAGGGCGCGCAGGCGGCCGUCCAAGUCCGGUGUUAAAUGGUCGGGCUCAACCCGAUCAUGCGCUGGAAACUGGGCGGCUUGAGUCCCGUAGGGGAUGCCGGAAUUCCAGGUGUAGGGGUGAAAUCUGUAGAUAUCUGGAAGAACACCGAUGGCGAAGGCAGGCAUCUGGCCGGAGACUGACGCUGAGGCGCGAAGGCGCGGGGAGCGAACAGGUUUAGAUACCCUGGUAGUCCGCGCAGUAAACGAUGCGCACCAGGUGUCGGGCGGCAGCGCCCGGUACCGGAGCUAACGCGAUGAGUGCGCCGCCUGGGGAGUAUGCCCGCAAGGGUGAAACUCAAAUGAAUCGGCGGGG